rnacentral:rRNA from 1 species
GGGGGGGGGGGGGGGGGGGGGGGAGGCGUGGGGGGGGGGGGGGGGCACAGUAGGAGCUUGCGCGUACGGGUGGCGAGUGGCGGAGGGGUGGGGAAUACAUGGGAGUCUACUUUUUCGUGGGGGGUCACGUAGGGGAACCUACGCUGAUACCGCAUCAGAACUACGGGUGAGAGCAGGGGAUCUUCGGAACUUGCGCGACUGCAUGAGACGAUGUCGGAUUAGCUAGUUGGCGGGGUAAAGGCCCACCAAGGCGACGAUCCGUAGCUGGUCUGAGAGGAUGAUCAGCCACACUGGAACUGAGACACGGUCCAGACUCCUACGGGAGGCAGCAGUGGGGAAUAUUGGACAAUGGGCGCAAGCCUGAUCCAGCCAUACCGCGUGGGUGAAGAAGGCCUUCGGGUUGUAAAGCCCUUUUGUUGGGAAAGAAAAGCAGCAGGUUAAUACCCCGCUGUUCUGACGGUACCCAAAGAAUAAGCACCGGCUAACUUCGUG